UACGAAGGGGGCUAGCGUUGCUCGGAAUUACUGGGCGUAAAGCGCACGUAGGCGGUCUUUUAAGUCGGGGGUGAAAUCCUGGAGCUCAACUCCAGAACUGCCUUCGAUACUGGAAGACUCGAGUCCGGGAGAGGUGAGUGGAACUGCGAGUGUAGAGGUGAAAUUCGUAGAUAUUCGCAAGAACACCAGUGGCGAAGGCGGACUCACUGGC
rnacentral:rRNA from 1 species